UACGUAGGGUGCGAGCGUUGUCCGGAAUUAUUGGGCGUAAAGAGCUUGUAGGCGGUUUGUCGCGUCUGCCGUGAAAAUCCGGGGCUCAACCCCGGACUUGCGGUGGGUACGGGCAGACUAGAGUGUGGUAGGGGAGACUGGAAUUCCUGGUGUAGCGGUGAAAUGCGCAGAUAUCAGGAGGAACACCGAUGGCGAAGGCAGAUCUCUGGGCCACUACUGACGCUGAGAAGCGAAAGCGUGGGGAGCGAACAGG
rnacentral:rRNA from 1 species